rnacentral:rRNA from 1 species
ACGGCAGCACGGGUGCUUGCACCYUGGUGGCGAGUGGCGAACGGGUUGAGUAAUACAUGCGGAACAUGUCCUGUAGUAGGGAGGAUAGCCCGGACGAAAGCCGGAUUAAUACCGCAUACGAUCUACGGAUAGAAAGCGGGGGACCUUCGGGCCUCGCGCUAUAGGGUUGGCCGAUGGCUGAUUAGCUAGUUGGUGGGGUAAAGGCCCACCAAGGCGACGAUCAGUAGCUGGUCUGAGAGGACGACCAGCCACACUGGGACUGAGACACGGCCCAGACUUCCUACGGGAGGCAGCAGUGGGGAAUUUUGGACAAUGGGCGAAAGCCUGAUCCAGCAAUGCCGCGUGUGUGAAGAAGGCCUUCGGGUUGUAAAGCACUUUUGCCCGGAAAGAAAUCCUGGAGGGCUAAUACCCUUCGGGGAUGACGGUACCGGAAGAAUAAGCACCGGCUAACUACGUGCCAGCAGCCGCGGUAAUACGUAGGGUGCGAGCGUUAAUCGGAAUUACUGGGCGUAAAGCGUGCGCAGGCGGUUUGUUAAGACCGAUGUGAAAUCCCCGGGCUCAACCUGGGAACUGCUUGGUGACUGGCAAGCUAGAGUAUGGCAGAGGGGGGUAGAAUUCCACGUGUAGCAGUGAAAUGCGUAGAGAUGUGGAGGAUACCGAUGGCGAAGGCAGCCCCCUGGGCCAAUACUGACGCUCAUGCACGAAAGCGUGGGAGAGCAAACAGGAU